UACGAAGGGGGCUAGCGUUGCUCGGAAUCACUGGGCGUAAAGGGUGCGUAGGCGGGUCUUUAAGUCAGGGGUGAAAUCCUGGAGCUCAACUCCAGAACUGCCUUUGAUACUGAGGAUCUUGAGUUCGGGAGAGGUGAGUGGAACUGCGAGUGUAGAGGUGAAAUUCGUAGAUAUUCGCAAGAACACCGGUGGCGAAGGCGGUCUGCUGGGCAGUUGCUGACACUGAGGCGCGACAGCGUGGGGAGCAAACAGG
rnacentral:rRNA from 1 species